GGGGGCGUAGCUCAACGGUUAGAGCGCUUCCUUGUCAAGGAAGAGGUUGCGCGUUCGAAUCGCGUCGCUCCCG
rnacentral:tRNA from 1 species